UGAGGAAUAUUGGUCAAUGGGCGCAAGCCUGAACCAGCCAUCCCGCGUGAAGGAGGAAGGCCCUACGGGUUGUAAACUUCUUUUCUGUUUGAAGAAUAAGCUCGUCGAGACGAGUGAUGCCGGUAGGACAGGAAUAAGCAUCGGCUAACUCCGUGCCAGCAGCCGCGGUAAUACGGAGGAUGCAAGCGUUAUCCGGAUUUAUUGGGUUUAAAGGGUGCGCAGGUGGUUUAAUAAGUCAGUGGUGAAAGUCUGGUGCUUAACGUUAGGAUUGCCAUUGAUACUGUUAGACUUGAAUAUGGAUGAGGUAGGCGGAAUGUGUAGUGUAGCGGUGAAAUGCUUAGAUAUUACACAGAACACCGAUUGCGAAGGCAGCUUACUAAUCCAUCAUUGACGCUGAGGCACGAAAGCGGGGGGAUCAAACAG
rnacentral:rRNA from 1 species